AUUGAACGCUGGCGGAAUGCUUUACACAUGCAAGUCGAACGAUGAACCUUAGCUUGCUAAGGGGAUUAGUGGCGAACGGGUGAGUAAUGUAUCGGAACGUAUCCAAUAAUGGGGGAUAACUAGUCGAAAGAUUAGCUAAUACCGCAUACGUCCUACGGGAGAGAGCUAGGGACCUCCGGGCCUGGCGUUAAUGGAGCGGCCGAUAUCUGAUUAGCUAGUUGGUGGGGUAAAGGCUCACCAAGGCGACGAUCAGUAGCUGGUCUGAGAGGACGACCAGCCACACUGGAGCUGAGACACGGUCCAGACUCCUACGGGAGGCAGCAGUGGGGAAUUUUGGACAAUGGGCGAAAGCCUGAUCCAGCCAUUCCGCGUGAGUGAAGAAGGCCUUCGGGUUGUAAAGCUCUUUCGCAAGGGAAGAAAACUUAAGCUCUAACAUAGCUUGAGGUUGACGGUACCUUGAUAAGAAGCACCGGCUAACUACGUGCCAGCCGCCGCCGUAA
rnacentral:rRNA from 1 species